GCGAUGCGGAAGCAUCGCAACAUCAUAAAGAACACGUUGCCGUAGGGCAGACAGUGCCGGAAGGCACGGGAUGCCGUGGAGGCAGGUCAAGCUUAGUGAUGUGGGGAGGAGCUGCCGAAGGUGGAGCCAUUAACUGGGGUGAAGUCGUAACAAGGUACC
rnacentral:rRNA from 1 species